UCCCCGUUGCCGGGGCAGUAUGAUUAGAAAAAUUCAACUAAUCACAGGGGUUGCGCUCGUUGAUGGACUUAACCAAACAUCUCACGACACGAGCUGACGACGGCCAUGCAACACCUGUCACUUGGCUCCCGAGGGCACUCUCUCCUUUCGGAAAGAUUCCAAGGAUGUCAAACCCUGGUAAGGUUCUUCGCUUAUCAUCGAAUUAAAGAACACGCUCCACCGCUUGUGCGGGUCCCCGUCAAUUCCUUUAUGUUUUAGUCUUGCGACCGUACUCCACAGGCGGGAUACUUAACGCGUUAGCUUCGCUACGGAGGGGGUCGAUACCCCCCACAGCUAGUAUCCAUCGUUUACGGCGUGGACUAC
rnacentral:misc_RNA from 1 species